rnacentral:lncRNA from 1 species
CCAGUGGCGCACACUUGAAAGAAAUAGAAUUAAAAAUUCAAACUUUCCUUUGGUUUCCCAAUGUUACUGAGACUACUCUAUUCAAAAACGAAAAUAACAUAAAAAGAAAAAGCUUCAUCUCAGGGAGAACUCCACACACCAACAAUAAACUCAUUUGAUUCUUCUCAUAACCUCACUACAAUUUACCAUCUUCAAAUGUCUUUUUUUCACUCUCAUUAAUUUAUCUCCUUCUAAUUCUCUUCAUCUCACCAUUACUCAGGUAAACACUACUAAACAAAAAUAUGACUAGAAAACACUACAUCCAUUUUUUUUCUUUUUCUGCAAUUUAUUUUCUCUCACCCUCACCAUUCUCUUUUAAAUCACUAUAACACCAUUUCCUUCACCCUAGUAACACUUCUUUCACCAUAAAAAACCACAUCUUUACAAAAUAAACAAAUCAUUUCUAUUCACACUAACCAUAUACAUACCUACAUUCUGAUUUUUUAUUUAUUUAUAAUUUUAUAAUAUAUAUUCGGUUUGAAUGUAAACAUAUAUAUUACUUUCUAUUUUUUUUAAUUUUUAAUUUUAUAUAUUUUUGCUUUAUGUGAAUUUUAUAUAUUAUAUAU